rnacentral:lncRNA from 1 species
UUUAAGUUAAUAAUAUAUUUAUUAAUUUAAUUAAAUAAUUGGAAUUUUUAUUAUUGGAUUAUUAUUUUAUUGGAAUAAAAGUUGGAAUUUAGAAAAGGUCCCAUUUAGUAAAAAGGUUUAUUUUCACGUGAAAAGGAAAAAGGGGCCAGAAAAGUGGAAAAAGGGCAAAAGAGAACCAGAGAACAAGGGUUGGAGAGAGGAA